UACACGCUGUGACUAGCAUAUCAAUAAGCGGAGGAAAAGAAACUAACAAGGAUUCCCCUAGUAACGGCGAGUGAAGCGGGAAGAGCUCAAAUUUGAAAUCUUAAAGGGUUUCCCUUUACGAAUUGUAGUUUAAAGAAGUGUUUUCUGUUGAGGUUUUGGUAAAAGUUCUUUGGAAUAGGACAUCAUAGAGGGUGAGAAUCCCGUAUUUGACCUUUACUUUCAACUUUGUGAUACACUUUCAAAGAGUCGGAUUGUUUGGGAAUGCAGUCCAAAACUGGGUGGUAAAUUUCAUCUAAAGCUAAAUAUUGGCGAUGAGACCGAUAGCGAACAAGUACCGUGAGGGAAAGAUGAAAAGAACUUUGAAAAGAGAGUUAAACAGUACGUGAAAUUGUCAAAAGGGAAGCGUUCUGACACCAGUGUUGUUUUUCUGAAAAUCAAUUAAAGAACUGUUUAUGCUAAGUUGUUUAGACUUUAUCAGCUAACUGUUUAGUUUUGAGCUUUUCUUUAAUGCACUUUUCAGUUAACAAGUCAACAUCAAUUUCUUUUGCUGUAAAAAAGCUUGAGGAAGGUGGCUUGAGAUUCGUCUUAAGUGUUUAUAGCCUCUUGCCUAUGCAGUCGGAGAGAUUGAGGUCUGCAGCGUAGAUCCUUCGGGGCUAAAUGCAUUUGUGCUAAGUUAUAGCAUUUUAUAGACAACUUGUUGACUAUGAUUUGUCUUGUAGCUUACUCGCUUAUGUUAUUUUACCUACGCUUAGGAUGUUGACAGCAGUAUAGACUGU
rnacentral:rRNA from 1 species